UCCAACUAACUAAUAACUUACACUUGGUUUACACCAAAAACUUAACUGUACGUUAUUAACGCCAGUUAGGUAGACAAUACAUUCGUUACUGUUGCUAAACCUAAAUGAGAAAUCUACCGCCAUAUAAUCAGAGAAACCCCUGCCAUACUUAACUGUUCCUCCUGUCUUCCUCUUCAACAGCUAACCCUAGCUGCCGCUCCAACGCCAUAUACUCAGAGACUUUUUCUGAGUUUUUAAGCCUUCGAUCAGCCAGACUUAGCAGCUCCAUGUGUUGGCAUAUUGCCCUCAUUUUUCAGGUGUGGCUGCAUACAUGAAAUUUAUCAGAUACUGAAGUUUCCUUGCAGUGCUGAGUCGAGGCAAAAUUUUCUCAAAUAACAGUAUAACUCCAUGAAAGUAUGAAACUGAAUUGCUUUCUUUGAAACUCAUUCUAGCUGAACAAAGUAACAAUGCGAGAAGGAUGCAUGAGCACCAAUUAGAGUAAACAUAUGGAGCAACUGUAAGGAAAACAAUAAUCAAAACAGGCACAAGUAGAGAUCAUAUAGCGGUGGUGACUGAAGUCAGAACGUCUUUUGCUUAGACUAGGCAUGGACAAUGUGGAUUGAGUUCAACAAACAAUGGAAGCUUAUCCUCAUGUCAUCCUUGACAACUUCAGUAGAACAAAAUUCAUCCUAAUCUAAUUUUUUUUGGAUUUUGUAGCAUUUAUUAUCAAUGUAUAGAAAAGAAGUGAAAAUCACGUGUUGUUCUUUUUUGCAGCUCUGCUGAUCUCUUAAAACCAGAAGUAGAACUUAAAGGAAAGGAGUGUGCAGUCGUUCGCCAGAGGCAAUUGUGUCUGCACAAAUUACCCUGAGAUAUCCUAGAUGAUAUACUCAGCCAUGGAAUGUCAGAACUGAGCUAUGGACUUUUGAAAUAAGCAUGUUACUAGGUAGAAAAGAUGAAUCUUUCUGGUAUUCUUAAGGUUGAAACUGCACAAGAUGCUCCUAAGUUUGGUGGUGGUUAUGCUGAUUGUGGAGAUUGUGGACCUGGUGCAACAAAGAGAACCUGAUAAUAGUAUUUCGUUGAUUCCAUAUCCUCUCAAUAUCUCUCACUACCGUCAUUUUUGUAAUAUUCUUAUGGUUGUACGUGAUAUAUUUGGUUAUAUGGGUCUGUUAAUAUCUAGGAAUUAUGAAUCAUUUUGCUAAAACAUGUUUUUCAAUUAUCUAUAGGUUUAACUGAUGCAGUCACAGGCAUCCGCUACAAUUACAUGAUAACAUAGGUACUGUCAUAGUAGCUGUCUCAGAGUCUCAUUCGUAGGCAGGUGAUUACAGAAAAUCUUCCUCAGGCAUGUUUGAAAAAAAUUGGAUUUUAUUCUAAUGGAAACUUGAUAUGAGCCAGUUAAAUUAUAGGUUUCUUUUAGAUGGCAAUGGGUUCAGAAGAAGAUGAAAUACGAUCUUCACAAUAUUGGUGGUGCUCUACGCAGUAUAAGAGGAAGGAACAUCUGUUAACUGAAGCGGAUUCUACAUAUUUCCCAGUUUUGAUUGUUGGUUUGACAUUACUUCCUGGGCACUUGGGUUUUGUAUGGAAGCACAUUCAGUUCACUUGAUUAAUACAUGCAUGAUAGAUGCACAUGCUAUCUGUACAGCUCAUAUCAUCAAGAGUGGUGUAUUUAUGGAAGAUUCACCCAAAUAGUUGAUGUGGAUGAAGAUCUAAUACAGCGAGAUCCAACGAUGUUGUUGCCUAUGAAGCCAAUAAUUGGCAAGAACAAGGCUUUGCAGUAUAUUCAGUUGGACCUCUGGUAUCCUAGAUCUUACACAUGAACAUUUUUGCAAGAGAAUUCAGGUCAGCUCAAGCCUAAGGUGGGCAUACGAACGUGAAUACUUAAAGAAUAUGAUCAUUAUAGUGUCAAACAUCGUGUUGUGAAUACAAAUAUGACUACAGCGUUGUAUCACUAACUCGAUGUUGUGGAUGGAGAUGGAAGAGGAUCUAUUGGUUUUGCUGCUGCUGAAGGAAGAGUUGAUGUUUGUAGAUGCUUGAAGAGUUGGAUCUUUGUUUAUGAUGACGUUGUCUUUAACUCCUCGUGGAGCCAGAAAUUGCAUCAACUUCAUAACAGUUGGUUUUUGCAUUCGAUGAGCUACAAAAUUAUAUAAAUGAGUAAUCCAAUACUAUGAUUUACCGACAGUAACACUGCACAGAAUAAGAAAACAAAUUGAAGAGUGUAUGAUUUUGCUA